rnacentral:rRNA from 1 species
AGAGAGAGACAUGCGCGCAUAUCAAUAAGCGGAGGAAAAGAAACUAACAAGGAUUCCCUUAGUAACGGCGAGUGAAGCGGGAAGAGCUCAAAUUUGAAAUCUUCAAGGUUUUACCUUGACGAAUUGUAGUUUAAAGAAGUGUUUUCUGCUGGAGUUUUGGUAAAAGUUCUUUGGAAUAGGACAUCAUAGAGGGUGAGAAUCCCGUAUUUGACCAUUAUUUUCAGCUUUGUGAUACACUUUCAAAGAGUCGGAUUGUUUGGGAAUGCAGUCCAAAAUGGGUGGUAAAUUUCAUCUAAAGCUAAAUAUUGGCGAGAGACCGAUAGCGAACAAGUACCGUGAGGGAAAGAUGAAAAGAACUUUGAAAAGAGAGUUAAACAGUACGUGAAAUUGUCAAAAGGGAAGCGUUUGACACCAGUGUUGUUUUCUCGAAAAUCAAUUAAAAAUGGCUCGAUUUUGUAUUGUUGAGACCUUAAAAGCUCACUGUACAUUUUUCGUGUCUUUUUAAUGCACUUUUCGUUUAACAAGUCAACAUCAGUUUCUUUUGUUGUAAAAGGGUCAUUGGAAGGUGGCUUUCUUUUCGGAGAAAGUGUUUAUAGCCUUUGGCCUCUGCAAUCGGAGAGACUGAGGUCUGCAGCGUAGACUCUUCGGGGUUAGAUACAUUUGUGCUAAGUUAUAGCUUUUUAUAGACAACUUGUUGACUAUAAUUAGUCUUGUAGCUUACUCGCUUAUGCUAUUUUACCUACGCUUAGGAUGUUGAAGAUGUAGCACAUCA